rnacentral:lncRNA from 1 species
GACAACCAGGGCUACAAGUAGAACACAAAACAACGUGACAUUAACAGUUGGCAUUCAUGAGCUUUUAUUGACAAAUGGCAACAAAUUUAAAAAAGUCAGCCAAGCAAGAACCUAAUAAUAAUGAAUUUAUAUGAAUGCUGUAAGUACAUACAUUUUUUUCUCACAAUGUUUAACAGGGGUUAAAAGUCCAAAACACACCAGUGUCCCGAUGGGACUCAUUGGGUUUGACUUCCUCAUGGUAUUAAAAAUCAUUUAAGUCUGAUUCAUUUUACAGAAUUAUACAAAAUACUUUUCAAGUUCAGUAAAAACAUAUAUCAAAAUAAUUGUUCCUGAGGCCUCAGAGUGUGGCGCAGUGUAUCGCAACUCCUUGUGGUUGGCCGGGCGCCUCCAGGCUGACUCCGGUCGUCAGUUCAACGGUUUUUCCUCUGACACAUUGGUGCACUUGGCUUCCGAGGUUAAACGGGCGGGUGUUAAGAGGCGUGGUUUGGCGGGUCAUGUUUCGGAGGACACAUGACUCGACCUUCGCCUCUCCCGAGCCCGUUGGGAAGAUGCAGCGAUGAGACAAGAUCGGAAUUGGAUCGCAAUUGGAUAUCGCUAAACUGGGGAGAAAAGGACCUGAGCCCUAGGACCAUGCCUCAGGACUACCUGGCUUGAUGACUCCUUGCUGUCCCCAGUCCACCUGGCCGUGCUGCUGCUCCAGUUCCAACUGUUCUGCCUGCGGCUAUGGAACCCUGACCUGUUCACCGGACGUGCUACCUGUCCCAGACCUGCUGUCCCAGACCUGCUGGAACCCUGACCUGUUCACCGGACGUGCUACCUGUCCCAGACCUGCUGUUUUCAACUCUCUAGAGACAGCAGGAGCGGUAGAGAUACUCUCAAAGAUUGGCUAUGAAAAAGCCAACUGACACUUACUCUUGUGUUACUGACUUGUUGCGCCCUCGACAACUACUAUGAUUAUUAUUAUUUGACCAUGCUGGACAUUUAUGAACAUUUGAACAUCUUGGCCAUGUGCUGUUAUAAUCUCCACCCGGCACAGCCAGAAGAGGACUGGCCACCCCUCAUGGCCUGGUUCCUCUCUAGGUUUCUUCCUAGGUUUUGGCCUUUCUAGGGAGUUUUUCCUAGCCACCGUGCUUCUACACCUGCAUUGCUUGCUGUUGGGGUUUUAGGCUGGGUUUCUGUACAGCGCUUUGAGACAUCAGCUGAUGUAAGAAGGGCUAUAUAAAUAAAUUUGAUUUGAUUUGAUAAAACGCUUAAUACAGAAGUGGUCCAAUGAAGCAGAUGCUAAGCUACAGGACUGUUUCGCUAGCAGAGAUUGAAAUAUUUUCCGGGGGUUUACCACAUCAGUUACCGGCUUCAUUAAUAAGUGCAUCGAUGACGUCGUCCCCACAGUGACCGGACGUACAUAUCCCAACCAGAAGCCAUGGAAUUCAGACAACAUCCGCACUGAGCUAAAGGCUAGAGCUGCCGCUUUCAAGGUACGGAACACUAAUCUGGACGCUUAUAAGAAAACCCACUACGACCUCCGAUGAACCAUCAAGCGUCAAUACAGGACUAAGAUGGAAUCCUACUACGCCAGCUAUGACGCUCAUCGGAUGUGGCAGGGCUUUCAAACUAUCAGGGAUUACAAAGGGAAAACAAGCCACGAGCUGCCCAGCGAGGCUAGCCUACCAGAUGAGCUAAAUGCCUUCCAUGCUCGCUUCGAGGCCAAUAACACUGAAACAUGCAUGAGAGCACCAGCAGUUCCAGAUGACUGUGUGAUCUCGCUCUCCUUAGCCGA